CCUACGGGAGGCUGCAGUCGAGAAUCAUGCACAAUGGGGGAAACCCUGAUGGAGCGACGCCGCGUGGGGGAAUGAAGGUCUGCGGAUUGUAAACCCCUGUCAUGUGGGAGCAAAUUAAAAAGAUAGUACCACAAGAGGAAGAGCCGGCAAAAUCUGGGCCAGCAACCGCGGUAAUACAGAGGUCUCAAGCUUUGUUCGGAAUCACUGGGCGUGAAGCGUGCGUAGGCGGUUUCGUAAGUCGUGUGUGAAAGGCGCGGGCUCAACCCGCGGACGGCACAUGAUACUGCGAGACUAGAGUAAUGGAGGGGGAACCGGAAUUCUCGGUGUAGCAGUGAAAUGCUUAGAUAUCGAGAGGAACACUCGUGGCGAAGGCGGGUGCCUGGACAUUAACUGACGCUGAGGCACGAAGGCCAGGGGAGCGAAAAGGAUUAGAUACCCGAGUAGUC
rnacentral:rRNA from 1 species